rnacentral:rRNA from 1 species
AGAGUUUGAUCCUGGCUCAGAACGAACGCUGGCGGCGUGGAUAAGACAUGCAAGUCGAGCGCUGAUUACAGGGUAGCAAUAUUCUGUGGUCGGAGCGGCGCAAGGGUGCGUAACACGUGGGCAAUCUGCCGUGAAGUCGGGGACAACUUGCUGAAAGGCGAGCUAAUACCGGAUGUAAAAAUUGGAAGGCAUCUUCUGAUUUUCAAAGCUGGGGACCGUAAGGCCUGGCGCUUCAUGAUGAGCCCGCGGCCUAUCAGCUAGUUGGUGAGGUAACGGCUCACCAAGGCUAAGACGGGUAGCUGGUCUGAGAGGACGACCAGCCACACUGGAACUGAGACACGGUCCAGACACCUACGGGUGGCAGCAGUCGAGAAUUUUUCACAAUGGGCGAAAGCCUGAUGGAGCGACGCCGCGUGGGGGAUGAAUGGCUUCGGCCCGUAAACCCCUGUCAUUUGCGAUCAACCGUUAUUAUUUAAAAGAUGAUGACCUGAUAGUAGCGAAAGAGGAAGGGACGGCUAACUCUGUGCCAGCAGCCGCGGUAAUACAGAGGUCCCAAGCGUUGUUCGGAUUCACUGGGCGUAAAGGGCGCGUAGGUGGCGAGGUAAGUCGGAUGUGAAAGCUCGGAGCUCAACUCCGAAAUGGCAUUGGAAACUACCUUGCUUGAGGGUUGGAGGGGGGACUGGAAUUCUCGGUGUAGCAGUGAAAUGCGUAGAUAUCGAGAGGAACACCAGUGGCGAAGGCGAGUCCCUGGACAACUCCUGACACUGAGGCACGAAAGCUAGGGGAGCAAACAGGAUUAGAUACCCUAGUAGUCC